rnacentral:rRNA from 1 species
AAUCAACGCUGGCGGCGUGCCUAACACAUGCAAGUCGAGCGGUAAGGCCCUUUCGGGGGUACACGAGCGGCGAACGGGUGAGUAACACGUGGGUGACCUGCCCUCAGCUCUGGGAUAAGCCUGGGAAACCGGGUCUAAUACUGGAUAUGACUCCAUGACGCAUGUUGUGGGGUGGAAAGCCUUGUGCGGCUGAGGAUGGGCCCGCGGCCUAUCAGCUUGUUGGUGGGGUGAUGGCCUACCAAGGCGACGACGGGUAGCCGGCCUGAGAGGGCGACCGGCCACACUGGGACUGAGACACGGCCCAGACUCCUACGGGAGGCAGCAGUGGGGAAUAUUGCGCAAUGGGCGAAAGCCUGACGCAGCCAACCCGCGUGUGUGAUGAAGGCCUU